ACUCCUUCCCUGCCUUUCCUACCUAUCACUCUCGUGCUGAAAGUUGGAGCUCCUUACCCAAAGACUGGGCGGAAAGGGUGACCGCCCUGGACCCCUGCCCGACUUCCCGUUAGGCCAAGCCGCUGUCCUGAAAGGGGAUCGUGUCCAGGCCGGCUUCCUGGAGACACACCUGCGCCUGCACACACCCACCGCGGUCGCGUCACCAGUGCCGCGGCCACGUGGACGAAGACCAAAGUCUGGAGGGAAUUCCCUCAGCCACAAAGCGAUGGGAAAGCGGGACCCGGAUUAGGGAUCGUGAUGUGGAGCUGCACUUCCUGGUUCCAAAUCCUGGCUCUUCCCCUCAUCCCUGGGUAAGUUGAGGGAUGAGAGCAAGAGAAGGUUGAUCCUGACUCAGAUCUCUGCAUGGGGCAUGUCACUGAUGACGGCGGCAUUCCCUGAGAGAGGGAACACUAAGUUUGAAGUUGGGCAUAGUGAGCACUAUUUUGGAUGAGUUAAGUUUAGAAGUGCCUGAAGACAUCCAAGUGGAAGAAGUGGCUGCAUGGACUGAAGAUACAGACUGGGAAACGUUAACACCAUCAAGGAACUGGAGUCCUGGGCACAGCCCUUCAAGACAGAGGAGAUUAUGGGGCUACUGAACGUAUCUUGGACUUUAGAGAAAGAAAGUGAAGCUGAGCUGAGAUCCAUUGGUUCUAUUUUGGAAAGAUGCACCCCGUGGCAUGACCUUCACAGCUCAGUUCUGGGGUCAAAGGAAUUUUCCAUUGCUCACACUGCCACCCAACUCUGGGGGCAUAAGUGUGGAAGUGGUACAGCACACAUGGAGAAGGGAUGGGAGGAGCAGGGGUGUGUAUCAGCUUAGCCGAUCCCCCGAGGAGCUGCCAAGCUUGCUACCCCAAGAACAAUGCCUCAUAGCUCUGUGACCUCUUCAAGAUUAAGGCUCUUUGAUCUCAGCCCUUCUGAAGUGGUUUGAACCAUAUUCUAUACAAAAUUGGUAACUCCCCCAUAAGAAUUGCUUUUUAAAUAUCCUGCUCUAUUUGAAAAAGGAAUUUUAAAAAUAAAGUUUACCCUUUUACUCUCUCCCAGCAAGUGAGAUAUUCAAAACAACAAAAAUUCCUCUAACAUGUUAUGAUGUGGAAACUGGUAUUUUACUGAUUUGUCUUUUCCACUUGGCUUCAAGUUCUUUGGGGAAUGAAGAUCAUAUCAAUCCCUAGCCGACCGCUUCAGGCACAACUGCAAAUGUUUCUUGAAUGAACUUCCAGGCUUACCUGAAUUCUAAGGGGGAUUUCCACCAUAAUGGGAAAGCCACAAGAAAACCAGCAAAGGGUUUAAAAAAAAAAGGGUGAAAAUAUAAGUUAUUUAUCGGGGGUUAUCACUUUAUGCAGAGAGCAUUCGAAACAAUGAUUUCCACAAAUGGGCAGCAACAGUAACAGCCAUACUAAGCCAUUGCUUUCUUUACUUCCUCUUGGUCUAGAAUAUGCUGCAAAGGGAGAAGAAGGAAGACGUGUGGUAUGGAAUCACCUAUGGAUAAGGUUGAGAACCAUGGGCUAGAUGCUAUGGAGACCAACGUAUCACUUACUAGGCUUUACUUUGUGCCAGGCACUGGAUUCGGCAUUACCCCAUUUAAGCCUCACUACCAUCCUUCAUGUUACUAUUCCACGUUGCCGCUCAGGAGAAACAAAAUUUUUUUAUUAAAUUCAAGUAACCUGAGGUCCCAUAUUUAGUAAGAGGCAGAGGAGUUAGAUGUGUCAAUAGCUAAAUUACAUGGCUGUGUCCUCUAGCUGGCCAGGGACUGACAACAUCAGUAUCACCUGGUGACUCUCCCAGGGGAGAUGUUUUUAAAAAUCUUUUCCAGUAAUUCUGUGCAACAUGGCAAUCUGAAACCAGUCUUUCAGACCUGGAAGUUCUUUAGAGACCACAGGACUCUCUUUGAUAUUUUUUCUUUUGAAUUUUUUUAAAAUACAGAAUCCUUUUUCAUGUUCUCUGUUUAUAAAACAACUGCAUGUCAAUUACAUUAUUUUUUAGAAGAUAGGUACAAGAGCCAGGCGUGGUGGCUCAUGGCUGUAAUCACAACACUUUGGGAGGUCGAGGCAGGUGGAUCAUUUGAGGCUGGAAGUUCGAGACCAGCCUGGCCAACAUGGCAAAACCUGUCUCUACUAAAAAUAUAAAAAAUUAGCCUGGAGUAGUGGUGCAUGUCCCAGCUACUCGGGAGGCUGAGGCAUGAAAAUCGCUUGAACCCGGGAGGUGCAGGUUGCAGUGAGCCAAGAUCGCACCACUGCACUCCAGCCUGGGCAACAGAGCAAGACUGUGUCUUGACAGCAACAAAAAAAGAAGAUAGGUAUAGGAAUUAAAAAGAAAGCAAAUAAUUACUGGUAGCCUGACCACUAAGAGAUAUAUACUGAUAUUUUUUUUGCGGGGGGUGCAUCUCCUUGCAGGCCUUUUUGUAUGUUUAUGUUCAAACACAUUUGUAACAACAAUGAAUAAAAAACGCAUAAUAUUCAAUGA
rnacentral:lncRNA from 1 species